rnacentral:rRNA from 1 species
GACGAACGCUGGCGGCGUGCUUAACACAUGCAAGUCGAACGGAAAGGCCCCCUUGUGGGGUACUCGAGUGGCGAACGGGUGAGUAACACGUGAGUAACCUACCCUUGACUUUGGGAUAACUUCAGGAAACUGGGGCUAAUACCGGAUAGGAGCUCCUGCUGCAUGGUGGGGGUUGGAAAGUUUCGGCGGUUGGGGAUGGACUCGCGGCUUAUCAGCUUGUUGGUGGGGUAGUGGCUCACCAAGGCUUUGACGGGUAGCCGGCCUGAGAGGGUGACCGGCCACAUUGGGACUGAGAUACGGCCCAGACUCCUACGGGAGGCAGCAGUGGGGAAUAUUGCACAAUGGGCGGAAGCCUGAUGCAGCAACGCCGCGUGCGGGAUGACGGCCUUCGGGUUGUAAACCGCUUUCGCCUGUGACGAAGCGUGAGUGACGGUAAUGGGUAAAGAAGCACCGACUAACUACGUG